rnacentral:rRNA from 1 species
AAGUAGAACGCUGAACGAGGAGCUUGCUUCUCUGGAUGAGUUGCGAACGGGUGAGUAACGCGUAGGUAACCUGCCUGGUAGCGGGGGAUAACUAUUGGAAACGAUAGCUAAUACCGCAUAAUAGUAGAUGUUGCAUGACAUUUGCUUAAAAGGUGCAAUUGCAUCACUACCAGAUGGACCUGCGUUGUAUUAGCUAGUUGGUGGGGUAACGGCUCACCAAGGCGACGAUACAUAGCCGACCUGAGAGGGUGAUCGGCCACACUGGGACUGAGACACGGCCCAGACUCCUACGGGAGGCAGCAGUAGGGAAUCUUCGGCAAUGGACGGAAGUCUGACCGAGCAACGCCGCGUGAGUGAAGAAGGUUUUCGGAUCGUAAAGCUCUGUUGUAAGAGAAGAAUGAGUGUGAGAGUGGAAAGUUCACACUGUGACGGUAUCUUACCAGAAAGGGACGGCUAACUACGUGCCAGCAGCCGCGGUAAUACGUAGGUCCCGAGCGUUGUCCGGAUUUAUUGGGCGUAAAGCGAGCGCAGGCGGUUAGAUAAGUCUGAAGUUAAAGGCUGUGGCUUAACCAUAGUACGCUUUGGAAACUGUUUAACUUGAGUGCAAGAGGGGAGAGUGGAAUUCCAUGUGUAGCGGUGAAAUGCGUAGAUAUAUGGAGGAACACCGGUGGCGAAAGCGGCUCUCUGGCUUGUAACUGACGCUGAGGCUCGAAAGCGUGGGGAGCAAACAGG